UACGUAGGGUGCAAGCGUUAAUCGGAAUUAUUGGGCGUAAAGAGCUCGUAGGCGGUCUGUCGCGUCGGAUGUGAAAAUCCAGGGCUCAACCCUGGACCUGCAUUCGAUACGGGCAGACUAGAGUUCGGUAGGGGAGACUGGAAUUCCUGGUGUAGCGGUGAAAUGCGCAGAUAUCAGGAGGAACACCGGUGGCGAAGGCGGGUCUCUGGGCCGAAACUGACGCUGAGGAGCGAAAGCGUGGGGAGCAAACAGG
rnacentral:rRNA from 1 species